rnacentral:rRNA from 1 species
GGUAAAAAAGCUCGUAGUUGGAUUUCUGUUGAGGACGACCGGUCCGCACCAUGUGCGCGCAUCUGGCUCGGCCUCGGCAUCCUCCGGUGCAACGUUCCUGCGCUUGAUUGCGUGGGGCGGGGUCCGGACUUUUACUUUGAGGAAAUUGGAGUGUUCACGGCAGGCUAUCGCCCGAACAUAUUAGCAUGGAAUAAUACUAUAGGAUCACGGUUCUAUUUUGUUGGUUUCUAGAAUCGAGAUAAUGAUUAAUAGGGACAAUUGGGGGCAUUCGUAUCAACACGUCAGAGGUGGAAUUCUUGGAUUGUGUUGCGACGAACUACUGCGAAAGCAUUUGCCAAGGAUGUUUUCAUUGAUCAAGAACGAAAGUAAGGGGAUCGAAGACGAUUAGAUACCGUCGUAGUCUUUACCAUAAACUAUGCCAAUUCGAGAUGGGGCUUCGUUCAUUUACGACUAGCUCCGCACCGUAUGAGAUAUCAAAAUUUUUCGGUUCCGGGGGGAGUAUGGUCGCAAGGCUGAAACUUAAAGGAAUUGACGGAAGGGCACCACCAGGAGUGGAGCCUGCGGCUUAAUUUGACUCAACACGGGGAAACUCACCAGGUCCAGACAUAAUAAGGAUUGACAGAUUGAUAGCUCUUUCUUGAUUUUAUGGGUGGUGGUGCAUGGCCGUUCUUAGUUCGUGGAGUGAUUUGUCUGCUUAAUUGCGUUAAC